UCUUCUUCUUCUUCUUCUUCUCUNUCGCGCGCNCUCUCUCUCUCUCUCUCUCUCUCUCUCUCUCUCUCUAGAUUGCAGACGUUCUUCUCUUCCUCUCUAUGUUUCUUCUUCUUUUUUGUUUCCUCUAUCCUAUAUAUGGGUCAUUUGGAUUUAGAAAUUUGGGUUAUUGUAGAUUGGGUGGAGUCGAUCUCACUGAAAUUUGAGUUAGUGUAGGGUAUGUCAGUGUCGACGGAAAGUAGAGCGAGCCGAUUGAUUCAUUUCAUUCGUUCGAACCCGAUCCAAAAUAUGAGGAGAGUUCAUGGUGGUUAGUGGGUUUCCCGAGUUUGCGGUGGAUUCCGGCGUCGGCGUUGGAUUUUUGUUGUAUGAUGUGGAUAGAUGCAUUUCAGAAGAGAAGCAUCGAUUGAUCUAUUUAGAAUUUGAAAUUGGAGGUUUGGUUUUGGCUGGCUUUGGGCACGGGUGGGUUUUGAGGGCCUGUCUAUAUCUCUCUGCUUGCAUCUGCAACUACGUGCUCCUCUGUUGAAAACUAACCCAACCGCUCAUGUUUUUGAUUUUGUAGUAUGCCGAAGAAAAAGAAAUUAAAUGCUUGAAGUCGAUCAUGGACCAUUCAGUCUCUAUGUGAGAGAAAGGAGCAGUUCGUAAUUCGAUCCCUGCUUAUCUAACAGCAGGAAAAGAUUGGAGGAUGUACAUGACAUGAUUCUUAUCUUGCUGCAGUUUCGAGAACUCUGCGCUCAUGGUAAAGGAGAAAUGAGAAUGUAGUAGUAGUUCUAUAUGUAGAUUAGGAGUAAUAUGUAUUGUUAUUAUAUAUUUUUAUU